CGGGACUGAUUAUUUUGUGACUGAGUGGCGGACGGGUGAGUAACGCGUGGGUAACCUGCCUUGUACAGGGGGAUAACAGUUGGAAACGGCUGCUAAUACCGCAUAAGCGCACAGCAUCGCAUGAUGCAGUGUGAAAAACUCCGGUGGUAUAAGAUGGACCCGCGUUGGAUUAGCUAGUUGGUGAGGUAACGGCCCACCAAGGCGACGAUCCAUAGCCGACCUGAGAGGGUGACCGGCCAC
rnacentral:rRNA from 1 species